rnacentral:siRNA from 1 species
GGAUAGCGGGUUAAACGGUUGGGA